ensembl:lncRNA
CUUCCUUCCCUCCUCUUGGGUUGAGUCUCCAUAACUCCCAAGAGAUUAGAAAACUGAUUACUCAUUUUUCUUGAGGCAGAAACGGGGCUGGGGGGAGGGGAGAGCGUUGAUAUUAAAUGUGGCAACAAGAGCCUGGGGUUUCCCAAGAAAUUUGUGUGAGACAGAAGGCUCGGCGGCAUGGGAAGUCCCAGAGAAUGGAAAUCGAGGUCUGAGAGCAUCUCGGGUAGAGCCUUCACCACCCACAACUCAAGCCAGCAGGCAAAUGGGCAAAGAGGCACAAGGCCAGGCUCCCAGAGAAAGCCAGUCAGCCCUCAGUAAAGGAAAUAAAAUACGUCACCAAACACAGAGCUGGCCAGGUCCCUGAUGUCCUUUGUCAUCUACUUCAUUACUGCUUUAAAAUUGUAAAUCGGAAAGAUGGGAAAUCGGGCAAGCCAGGGACCGCCAUGCAGACUGUUCGAUUCUCCCCCAGUGUGGCCAUAGUGCCCCCAGGCAACCAGGGCAGAAUGUUCUCAGUUCAGCAAAAGCCUUCCUGUUGGACCGUCCAGGCCAGCGCUGGGACAAGAGUCAUGGCAAAAAAAACAACAUGAACAAAUCAGAACCCAACGCCAGCAGCAGUGCGGGGGAGAUUUCAUCAGCCCUGUGACGGGCCAGAGGCCUGGGCAAACCAGAGCAAAGAGCAGCGCCCCCAAGGUCUCUCUCUGAGGCUCCCUACUGUACGGCAGGCCACGCCCAUCUGAAAUUCCCCAGGAACUUGCAGCUCCUGCACAGGGACGUCUGGGCCAGACUCCUCGAGGCUUCCCGAACAUUCCCAAGUGGCUCCGCGUUCUCAGACAAGGGCAGCUCCUGGGAGCCUGGAGAAGACCCCUGUCUGAAGACAACAAGCCUCUCCAUGGAAGUCCCGUCUGGACUCUUGAUGCAAACACGGGCAGUCAGGGGUGAGAAGGUACGCGUGCAGCCUCACUUCUGCCAUUUAUGUGCUUUCUGACUCUAAUGGAGACAUUUCACGCCCCGUGCCUCAGUUUCUCCGUUGCUCAACGUUUAUGCCCCUAUUUUGGAAAUUCCUUUUUGGCACUUUCAGUUACACAGAGAGAGUCACAGACGGGACGAUAGGGCAAUAUUUUACUUGAUAAAUAAAAUGGGAGGGCCCCCUGGUGGACUGCACAAUUCUAAGCACUGAACUAUGAAAUGAAUGAGUAAGUGAGUAAGUAAACACAUGAAUGAACGAUUAAAGUGAAGAAUUUUUAGACUUUUAUGCAAAGCCACAGAAACAAAAGGAGGAGAGAAUUUCCAGAAGGAGGCUGUGGCAAACUCUCCAGCGACGCAAAGAAGACAAGAAAAACCUAAUUGUAUAUGAGCCCUGAGUCCUUGUUGACUGCACGGAGAGCAGUUGUAUGGCACAGCCUCUCUGGGAGGCAGUGUCCAUUCACUAGAGGACAUAAGCAUCCUUUGAGCCAGUGAUCUUUCCUCUAGGAAUUUACCCUACAGAUAUGUUCACAGUUGUGCUCAAAUAUGUUGAAGGCCUACAGCCCUGAAGCAUUGCUCUAAUGUCAAAAGAUCCUAGAUAUUCUACAAGGACAUCAUUAAGGGUCUGGUAAAAUAAAUUACAGUACAUCCACAUAGUGGAAUGCCACACAGCUUUUUAGACAAUGAAGCAGCUCUCUAUAUAAUGAUAUGGAACAAUCUCCAAGCUAUAUUGUGAAGUGAAAAUCAAAAACCUUAUUGAAAAACAUUAAAGAAGACCUAAGAAAAUGGAAAGGCAAACCAUAUACUUGGGUAGAAGAAUGAAUAUCAUAAAAAAAUCUCAAUUCUCUCUCAGUUGAUCUACAGAUUCAAAGCAAUUCCAUGCAAAAUCCCAAAAGGUUGGACUGGCUGGGACAUAGUGAGAGGCACAGGGGAAUUGUCCUACAACAUAUGAAGGUUUAUUAUAAAAGAGAAAUAAUGAGGACAGUGGUAUUAGAGCAGAUGUGAAAAAUUAUAGCAAUACAACAUAAUAGAAAUCCCCCCAGACAGACCCAGCUAUAUAUGGAAACUUGAAUUAUGACAAAACUGACAUUGCACGCUUAUUUGUGGGGAAAGGAUGGAUUAUUUCCCCUAAACAGCACCGAGAUGUUAGGCAUCGGCAGAAGAAAUAUAAAUGGCCCAAAAAUAUAAGAAAAGAUACACAAUCUUUCAGUGAUCAGACAGUGAGAAGACAUUUAAUGCAGAUUGGCAAAAUUAAAACAUCUGACAACAUCUGUGGAGCAAAAGGGUCUCUCAUCCAUUGCAUGCAAUUUUAUUUUUGUAAAAAUUACAAUAGGCAAAACUAAACAAUAUGUUGUUUAGCACAUACAUAGCUCUGUGCUGACGUUAUAAAAUAAUGCACGAGAAUUAUUAACACACAUUUCAAGAUUGUG